rnacentral:rRNA from 1 species
AGAGUUGAUCAUGGCUCAGGAUGAACGCUGGCGGCGUGCCUAACACAUGCAAGUCGAGCGGAGAUCUGAAGGCACUUGUGCCUGAAGGAUCUUAGCGGCGGACGGGUGAGUAACACGUGAGCAAUCUGCCUUCGGCUGGGGAAUAACACUGGGAAACCAGUGCUAAUACCGCAUAACAUUCAGUGGCGACAUCGCCGCUGAAUCAAAGGAGAAAUCCGGCAGAAGAUGAGCUCGCGUCCGAUUAGGUAGUUGGUGAGGUAACGGCCCACCAAGCCUACGAUCGGUAGCCGGACUGAGAGGUUGAACGGCCACAUUGGGACUGAGACACGGCCCAGACUCCUACGGGAGGCAGCAGUGGGGAAUAUUGGGCAAUGGGGGAAACCCUGAACCCCCAGCAACGCCGCGUGAAGGAUGAAGGCUUUCGGGUUGUAAACUUCUUUGAUCAGGGACGAAUAAAUGACGGUACCUGAAGAACAAGCCACGGCUAACUACGUGCCAGCCGCUGC